GUCCCUUCGGGGACAUCCGAUAAAAUUAGAACAACAUAGAGAAGAUUACCGUGGCCUCUGGGUAAGGAUGACACGCAUAAACGGAGAAUCAAUCUCAAGCGAG